ACGCUCGACACCUACGGGAGCAGCAGUGGGGAAUAUUGCACAAUGGGGGAAACCCUGAUGCAGCGACGCCGCGUGAGUGAAGAAGUAUUUCGGUAUGUAAAGCUCUAUCAGCAGGGAAGAAAAUGACGGUACCUGAGUAAGAAGCCCCGGCUAACUACGUGCCAGCAGCCGCGGUAAUCUGAGCGGGCUGGCAAGGC
rnacentral:rRNA from 1 species